rnacentral:tRNA from 1 species
GGUAGUGUGGCUUAGUGGAAAGAGCAUGGUCCCUGGGAGUCAGAAGACCUGGGUUCUAAUUCCGGCUCCACCA